rnacentral:rRNA from 1 species
GCUUACGGCCAUACCAGCCUGAAUGCGCCCGAUCUCGUCAGAUCUCGGAAGCUAAGCAGGGUCGGGCCUGGUUAGUACUCGGAUGGGAGACUGCCUGGGAAUACCAGGUGCUGUAAGCA